UUCAGAAAAUAUACACUUGUCUCUGGUUCUUUACAGGAAACAUAGCUUCUUACCGUGGUACAAAAACCUUGUUCUGAGGCCUCAACUGAAGCUGUUUGCACAGGAAAGACAGUGGGAUAAGCCAGAGGUAGUGCUGUAGUUGACAGCCAUCACUCCUACUCACUGCAUUACCAAUGAUUGCCGAUCUAAUGAAACGAGACCCUCAGAAAAUUCAGACUGAAAAUUUGAUUAGGGCAGUAGAACCGGCAUUUGAGAGGCUGCAUUGACAGCUACAACCCAUAAUCCACAAUAAUGCUGCCAACGCAUGGGUUAUUCCUGAACUUUAAGAAGCCUCCUGUAUCUUCCUUGCUAUUUGCAAAUCUGAAAAUAUGACAUAGCUUGAGAAUGUGAAAUAUCUAAGAUUUCGGUGCCUUGAGAUUUUUUCAUUUCAAAGUUUAAUAAAAAGAUAUUAAAAGAAAGAAGAAUGAAAGAAGAGAUUUCUAGUAUUGCGCUUAGAACAAAUAAAGCCUAAGGCCCUUCAUAGCACAAACGCCUACUCACAUGUGACAAUGGGACAACUGCUGUGCAGAAAGUAACUCACGGAUGUUUGUAGAAUCAGGGCCUACAUCAGUACUUUAAAGAUGCCUUUUUUAAUGAUGUUUCUGCUGUGUAUCUGCUGAAAACAGUUGGCAGGUGGAUUUGCUGCAAUGCAUACCCAUCAGCCCCACAUCAUCCCUCCUCUGAAUGCCCUGCCCCAUCAAACCCCACUCUGCACCCCAGGACAGAGACUGCACUCUACCAUAUAUAACGAUACGCACACACACAAUCAAUGUUUCUGCAUUCAGCACCUCACCCCAUUAGGGUUCCCUGCGCAGGGCCAAAUUCUGGCCCUCAUCAUAAAUAUCUCACAAAACCUCUUGUGGCCCUCUUAGGAUACAAAACCAUAGGAGGAGGCUUUGAGGAAGUAAUAGACAAACAAUUCCCCCUAUACUGUCUUGUCAGUGGAGCAGGGUUUGAAAAGGCUGUCAGAGGCACCCCCGAUCUUGCAGAUACCCAGAGAUCCACAAGAGGCCUGUGCCUCUGUGGCAGUUCUAAGUCAUAGUAGAAGUUGUGCUGUCAAGGCUGAUUCCUAACUAUGAAUGUCCCAAGACUGCCCCUACUCUGUAUUCCACCUCAUCUCCACAGAAUCAGAGGUGGAACGGUAAGUGCUUCUCCCACAGUCCCAUUCAUAGAAUAUCAGGGUUGGAAGGGACCUCAGGAGGUCAUCUAGUCCAACCCCCUGCUCAAAGCAGGACCAAACCCCAAUUUUUGCCCCAGUUCCCUAAAUGGCCCCCUCAAGGAUUGAACUCACAACCCUGGGUUUAGCAGGCCAAUGCUCAAACCACUGAGCUAUCCCUCCCCCGCAUUCACCCCAUAUGACCUGCCUCUCCAUUCCUCUACUCAGCCCACCCAGUCUACAACCCCUCUCCAGUGUAGAUGCCUGACCCACACAGACCAACAUAGUCCUCUUCAUCUGGAGGAGCUGGGGUGAUACUGCAGAAACAUCUGAACCUCUCUUCCCAAGUGGGAGGCAAGGAAAUCCACUCACAGAGAGUCUCCUCUUUGUGCAGAGAUCAUGGAAUGAUUGUGUGUGGAAUGAUCCAGGCUUCUGCUCUUAGUUAUUCUCGUUACUACAGAUUUACUCUCACUGGUAUAAAUGCAAAAAGAAUUUGAUCCAUGGUAUGGCACUUAGACCUUCAGCUCAAGGAACAAGAAAGUAGACUUUAUCGUCAUUUGUUACAAGUAAAGUAGACUUUGUUGCUGAAAUAAAAUUGGGGUUUAUUUAUCUUAGAUAACAAUUCACAUUUUUGCAAAGAUACCCAUUGCUCUGGUGACUGGACAAAAAUGUUAUGCCACAGACAGGCAAGUAUUUCUUCACUGUGCAUACAUUGUUGCUAUACAUUGCCAUGCACUGGUAUGUUACAUAAGAGAUGGUUCCCUGUACAUUGAGAAUGUUAAGUACAGGCUGCUACAGUAAAGUGUUCAUUUUUUUCAGCAACGCUGUAACUCCUAACUAACUGAAUUGUCACAUUGGUUUAUGAAUUUAGCAGGAAUAUGUUUUAACAAAUGAGAUUCUUUUAAAAUUUUUGUUCUACUAGUUCUGCCUUAUGCAAAAAUAUUGUAAACGUUCCUUUAAGCAGUUUGGACAACAGGGUGGAAAAUAUGUUAUAAACUUUAGGGGAGAUUGUCAAGUAUUUGUAUCCUAAUUUUAAACUUCACUUUCUGUUAUAAAUAUCACCUUAUAAUAAAGGAUUUGCCAUGCAAUGUAAGACCACGUUAACUUGUCUCUGCUUGUGGCUGUGGCCAGGUUCAUCAAUAAAAAGUAAAUAGAGAAUAUUUUCAGUUAUGUUGAACCAAUAACUACACCAGAAACCUGAUUCUAAGAAUUCCAAUCUAAACAAAAACAAUAGCAUGUGUGUGACCCAAGGAGUCCCUCACUGCCAACUGGCAGAGGGAACAUUGUAUCAUAAUUCACAUCAGGCCUGGCACACUUGUCCCAACAUGGUCAUACUCUAUCUAAACUGUGUCACGUAAGGUAUCAUGUGCAAACCAGUAACUAGCUGGUCAUUAAGAUUAUUGUGGAAGGUAUGUAUGGGUGGUGUAUAAAGAAUUAGAGAGGUGUGCUGGAAAUCUGUUUUUAAAAAGGAGUUUUGCAAGCAGUGCAUAAGGUCAGCCUAUCCUAAACAAAGGAAUGUUAUUUUGCCUGUUUUCCUGUAUCUCCAAUGUAAAUCGAGCCAGGUAAUACCUGUGAUGACAGCAACAGUACAUUUACAUAUUAGGUAAACAAAGCUAUCAAGCUAAAUGUAUGAGGGAAGACUGUUUAAUGAGCAUGACAGGGGAUGGAGCGUACAUCCCCAGGAAGACUACCUGGCUUUUGAAACAGACAAUAGACCUUGAGAAAUAUAAGCAGAAACAGAAAACCAUUUUGGCAUCCAUCUCCUAGGGGACAAAGAGGGAGCAGUGCCCUUUGGGAUCAUGAAAAGUGGAUUCUCUUGGCCUCAAAACCAAGUGGGACUGGAACUGACUGUAGGUGGAUAACCUGCUUAGACAAAGAUUGUAAUUUGCUGAAGUUAAGUUUGUCACUAGAAAAUGUGUUUUGUUUUGCA